AACGAACGCUGGCGGCAUGCCUAACACAUGCAAGUCGAACGAGACCUUCGGGUCUAGUGGCGCACGGGUGCGUAACGCGUGGGAACCUGCCCUUAGGUUCGGAAUAACUCCCCGAAAGGGGUGCUAAUACCGGAUAAUGUUUUCGGACCAAAGAUUUAUCGCCUUUGGAUGGGCCCGCGUUGGAUUAGCUAGUUGGUAGGGUAAAAGCCUACCAAGGCGACGAUCCAUAGCUGGUCUGAGAGGAUGAUCAGCCACACUGGGACUGAGACACGGCCCAGACUCCUACGGGAGGCAGCAGUGGGGAAUAUUGGAUAAUGGGCGAAAGCCUGAUCCAGCAAUGCCGCGUGAGUGAUGAAGGCCUUAGGGUUGUAAAGCUCUUUUACCCGGGAUGAUAAUGACAGUACCGGGAGAAUAAGCGCCGGCUAACUCCGUG
rnacentral:rRNA from 1 species